CCUACGGGAGGCAGCAGUGGGGAAUAUUGCACAAUGGGGGAAACCCUGAUGCAGCGACGCCGCGUGAGUGAAGAAGUAAUUCGUUAUGUAAAGCUCUAUCAGCUGGGAAGAAAAUGACGGUACCUGAGUAAGAAGCCCCGGCUAACUACGUGCCAGCAGCCGCGGUAAUACGUAGGGGGCAAGCGUUACCCGGAUUUACUGGGUGGAAAGGGAGCGUAGACGGCAGUGCAAGUCUGGAGUGAAAGGCGGGGGCUCAACCCCCGGACUGCUUUGGAAACUGUACGGCUGGAGUGCAGGAGAGGUAAGUGGAAUUCCUAGUGUAGCGGUGAAAUGCGUAGAUAUUAGGAGGAACACCAGUGGCGAAGGCGGCUUACUGGACUGUAACUGACGUUGAGGCUCGAAAGCGUGGGGAGCAAACAGGAUUAGAUACCCGGGUAGUC
rnacentral:rRNA from 1 species